rnacentral:rRNA from 1 species
AGCGAACGCUGGCGGCAGGCCUAACACAUGCAAGUCGAACGAACUCUUCGGAGUUAGUGGCGGACGGGUGAGUAACACGUGGGAACGUGCCUUUAGGUUCGGAAUAACUCAGGGAAACUUGUGCUAAUACCGAAUGUGCCCUUCGGGGGAAAGAUUUAUCGCCUUUAGAGCGGCCCGCGUCUGAUUAGCUAGUUGGUGAGGUAAAGGCUCACCAAGGCGACGAUCAGUAGCUGGUCUGAGAGGAUGAUCAGCCACAUUGGGGCUGAGAGACGGCCCAAACUCCUACGGGAGGCAGCAGUGGGGAAUCUUGCGCAAUGGGCGAAAGCCUGACGCAGCCAUGCCGCGUGAAUGAUGAAGGUCUUAGGAUUGUAAAAUUCUUUCACCGGGGACGAUAAUGACGGUACCCGGAGAAGAAGCCCCGGCUAACUUCGUGCCAGCCGCCGCCGUAA